CUGGGCGCCAUCAAGAUUCAGCUUAACCUUGCCUCAGACUAGUGCCAGGGCCGGUGUGGCAAGCGGCAAAGUACUUGAGUACAUGGCCUGUUAAGUGAAUGCAGGAUGCCACAUAGUACUACUGUGCUAUCACGACUCUUAGAGCCCUCCUGA